ACUUCCAGUGGAUUUUGUUAAUCACUACCAGGCAUCAUGGAUGUCAACAGCUGUGUUGGGUGCACUGGCAUGUUCCUGUGGAGACACAUUUUCCUCAGAAUUUGGCACUGUCAUCGGUUCUACCCAGUUAGUAAAUUCACGACUUAUCACAAGAUCAAGAAAAGUUCCCAGAAGGGCCAGUGGUUCCGUAUCCUUUGUCGGUUUACUCUGCAGUGCUCUUGGUGGUUUGAUUAUCGGUGUUACUUACUAUUUAACACUAUUGUUGACCAUCAACCAACGGAAGCUCCACGGGAGUCCAGUCCAGUGGCCAGUCAUCAUAGUCGGCUUAGUCUGUGUGU